AUAAAGGCUGAUGGGCCCAGGGAUGGAGGACAAGAAAGAUGACAAGGACUCGCCCAAGAAGAACAAGGGCAAGGAGCGCCGGGACCUGGAUGACCUCAAG
rnacentral:sRNA from 1 species